GAAGGCUGUUGGUCCUAAAACUGGCCCUGAACCUCCUCUUGAAGAAGGCUGUUGGUCCUACUGAUUGUUUGUUUUCAGCCUUGUUUAUUGUUUACUAAUAUUGAUUCAGAGUUAUUAUGAAGUGUCUCAUAUCUGGAUAACCUGGUCUAGUCCAAUGAGGUUAUCCAGAUAUGAUUAUCCAGACCACAUUAGAUAAUACAAUGACUGUGUCCCAGAGGGCGGCCUUUACCCUAUGGGCCCUGGUUAACAGUAGUGUCCCCUUUACCCUAUGGGCCCUGGUCAACAGUAGUGUCCUCUUUAUCCUAUGGGCCCUGGUUAACAGUAGUGUCCCCUUCACCCUAUGGGCCCUGGUUAACAGUAGUGUCCCCUUCACCCUAUGGGCCCUGGUCAACAGUAGUGUUGAGGGUAAAGGGUGCACUACUGUUGACCAGGGCCCAUAGUGGUGUCCCCUUUACCUUAUGGGCCCCGGUCAAUAGUAGUGCAUGACAGAGGGGAUAGGAUUCAAUUUGGGACACUGGCCUGUUGGUCAUGUAUGUGCCUCCUUUAGUAAAUGCUAAAGUUAAAAAACGUCAUAUUGUACAAGAACAACAAUUCAUGUUGAUUGUAAGUGUGUUUCUUCUGCUACCUGAGCUGUGUUUUGACUGUGAUGAUGAUGGUGUGUUGUCAGGUUGUUUUUCUAUUGUGUUUACGUCCACUGUGUCCCUACUACAGUACAUGGCUCCUGUUAUAGCUGCUAGCUGGUAGCAUUGAAUAGGGAAGUCGUUCUGUGUCUCUGUAACAAAUGCCUCCCUAUUAACUGCACUACUUUGGACCAGGGCCCUAUGGGUCAUGGUCAAAAGUAGUGCACUAUGUAGGGAAUAAGGUGCAUUUUGGGAUGCAUCCUCGAUCUGUCCUGUUCCACACCACUAAUAGCUGAGCUGAACUGGUGUCCAGAUGUCACUCAGAGGCCUGUUGGGAUGCAUCCUCAAUCUGUCCUGCUCCACAGAGGUCAGGGGCCUGUAUCCUCAAUCUGUCCUGCUCCACAGAGGUCAGGGGCCUGUAUCCUCAAUCUGUCCUGCUCCACAGAGGUCAGGGGCCUGUAUCCUCAAUCUGUCCUGCUCCACAGAGGUCAGGGGCCUGUUGGGAUGCAUCCUCAAUCUGUCCUGCUCCACAGAGGUCAGGGGCCUGUUGGGAUGCAUCCUCAAUCUGUCCUGCUCCACAGAGGUCAGAGGUCAGGGGCCUGUUGGGAUCCAUUCCAAUAGAAGUCGGUCAGUUCAGGAAAUAAACUGAAAUUCCAAUUCAAUAAUUACAAUUAUUUCUCAAUAAACUGAAAAUGAGAAGCUAUUUAUUUCAGAAAGGUUUUUCCGUUUUCAUUAGGAAUCAGAUGGUUUUGGAGUCGGGGGCGAGUUUUCAGAAAGGUAUUUUCUCUGUUGAUGCUGUCAUCUAGAUGAUCUGCUGUGUCCAGUUUAAAUGAAUCCAUGUUACAGUGUCGACGGACCACCGAGACACCACCUAUCCUAAUUAGAUAUCUAGCAUGCAC
ensembl:lncRNA